rnacentral:rRNA from 1 species
GACGUAGGGCGCGAGCGUGUCCGGAUUUAUUGGGUGUAAAGAGCUCGUAGGUGGUUUGUCGCGUUGUUCGUGAAAACUCACAGCUUAACUGUGGGCGUGCGGGCGAUACGGGCAGACUUGAGUACUGCAGGGGGAGACUGGAAUUCCUGGUGUAGCGGUGGAAUGUGCAGAUAUCAGGAGGAACACCGGUGGCGAAGGCGGGUCUCUGGGCAGUAACUGACGCUGAGGAGCGAAAGCGUGGGGGAGCGAACAGGG